GAUCCUGGCUCAGGAUGAACGCUAGCGGCAGGCUUAACACAUGCAAGUCGAGGGGCAGCAUGAGACGGAGAUUCGUCGAAGUCUUGAUGGCGACCGGCGCAAGGGUGCGUAACGCGUGAGCAACUUGCCCGUUUCUGGGGAAUAACCGGUGGAAACGCCGACUAAUACCCCAUAGUAUUGACUUUGGGCAUCCUUAGUUAAUUAAAGAAAUUCGGAAACGGAUAGGCUCGCGUGACAUUAGCUGGAUGGCGGGGUAACGGCCCACCAUGGCAACGAUGUCUAGGGGUUCUGAGAGGAAGGUCCCCCACACUGGAACUGAGACACGGUCCAGACUCCUACGGGAGGCAGCAGUGAGGAAUAUUGGUCAAUGGUCUGACGACUGAACCAGCCAUGCCGCGUGAAGGUCACGGCCCUAUGGGUCUUAAACUUCUUUUGUAAGGGAGCAAUAAGCUUUACGUGUAGAGUGAUGAGAGUACCUUACGAAUAAGCAUCGGCUAACUCCGUG
rnacentral:rRNA from 1 species